GACGAACGCUGGCGGCGUGCUUAACACAUGCAAGUCGAACGGAAAGGCGCUGCUUUUGUGGGGUGCUCGAGUGGCGAACGGGUGAGUAACACGUGAGUAACCUGCCCUUGACUUUGGGAUAACUUCAGGAAACUGGGGCUAAUACCGGAUAGGAUCUCCUGCUGCAUGGUGGGGGUUGGAAAGUUUCGGCGGUUGUGGAUGGACUCGCGGCUUAUCAGCUUGUUGGUGGGGUAGUGGCUUACCAAGGCUUUGACGGGUAGCCGGCCUGAGAGGGUGACCGGCCACAUUGGGACUGAGAUACGGCCCAGACUCCUACGGGAGGCAGCAGUGGGGAAUAUUGCACAAUGGGCGGAAGCCUGAUGCAGCAACGCCGCGUGCGGGAUGACGGCCUUCGGGUUGUAAACCGAUUUCGCCUGUGACGAAGCGUGAGUGACGGUAAUGGGUAAAGAAGCACCGGCUAACUACGUG
rnacentral:rRNA from 1 species